CGAGUGCGAGGGGACACACGCACGCACGGACACCACCAAUCCGCCAUGGCUCUCCUCGCCCGAGCACCGUCGCUGCUCCACCUCCAUCCUCCCUCCACCCCGGCGCACGCCUUCCUCCUCCCUCAAACCACGCCCAGACCCACGCUCCACCGCCGCCGCCUCGCCGCCCGGGUCCGCGCCGCCAACUCCGACCCGCCGCAGCAGGUCAACCUCUCCGUCCUCCGCUUCACCCUCGGGAUCCCCGGGCUGGACGAGUCCUACCUCCCGCGCUGGAUAGGCCUCGGCUUCGGCGCCCUCGUCCUCCUCAACCACCUCCUCUCGCCGUCCCCGACCCCCGCGCAGCUCAGGUCCGAGGCUCUGGGGCUGUGCCUGGCCGCGUUCUCCGCAGCGCUGCCGUACCUCGGGAGGUUCCUUGAGGGUGCGGGUGCCGCAGGCCGUGUGCCGUUGCCGGAGGGGAGCAGGCAGGUGUUUGUGAUUCCUGAUGAUCUGUCGGCGGCGCAGAAGGAGGAUAUGGCCUGGGCGACGUACGUUCUGCUGCAGAACACAAACACCACGUCUGUGCUCAUAGCGGUUGGUGAUGUGCUGUGCAUACGUGGAUACUGGGAUCCUCCUGCAGAUAUCCCCAAGAAUGACAUGAUUGAGUGGUUCAAGGGUCAGAUGGAACAAGCUGGACUCGUUAAUCUGAGUAGCGCUUUGUACCUUCCUAGUUUUUCUGACACUCAGCUUGGGAAGAUCCUGCCACAAGGAAUUCUUUCUGUGUUGGCACAACCAAUUGUGAGCAAUGCUAAUCCAGCUAGCGGUGAAACAAAAGCUGAAGGUGUCAUCCUGUUGGCCUCCAACGCAAGUUAUGCGUAUAGUGAGAAAGAUAGGGUUUGGAUAAGAGCAGUUGCAAAUAAAUUUCGACAUGUGUAGCUCAGUGAUGACCAAGCGUGCACCUAUCUUGUCAAGUUACAACCAAGGGGAGACGAAGUCCUUUUAAGUCCAAAAUGGUAAAAUGUUGUCACAGAUCAGGAUUACAGAUAAUGGAACAUAUAUUUGUGGACUUCAGGACAUGAUAUCUUAAACCCUCAAUGCACUGUGAACAAAUACAUGCACAAAUACUCUCUUGCCAUUUGCAAACAUCAUUUUAGUAGUCUGGCUGGAUAUCAACAAAUGUUUUUGUUCUCUUGGUGGAAGGAUGGUUCAAAUGGAUGAUAGGCAAAUAGCUACACCCCUUGCCGCUGAAAGGUCUGAAUGAGCAGUUUGCAAACCAGAAUAUAUUGGUCACUGGAUCUUUUCAAUGCCAUUACACGUCGAACAUCACAUUAACCAUUCGUUUCCCAGCUGAAGCGUGGUUUGAGUUAGAUCAUGGAUGGUUCACGUCAGACGUUCCCGUGACCUGAUUUGCCUUGUUCUCUUGUGAACUCAUCAACUAUGUGGCUCCAAAUCGCUUGCCCUGGAGCCUCAGUUGCGUAUCCUUGUGAGACGUCUCACAGGAUCCCUCUGCUAUGUUCUCGAGGUUCAAAAUGCAUCUAAUAUGUUGUCUCAUGCGGUGUUGUUUAAUGCACGCCAGCCGGAAAUGGUUGGUGCAUCAGGCUGUAUUCUGUACUCUGUUGUACCAGGUUUGCCGUGAGGCUACUGUCACGGUGGAGAGAGGUUAAAUGGUCCACUCUUUUGUUUUCACAAAAACAUGGUCCACUCUUUGUGUGAACUGCCAGCGAAGGGACAGUGGGCGUCUGUGGGAGGGCCAUGUUCUCAUGCAUCUCCAUCCAAAUGUAUUGCGGCAAUGUACAAAAUCCUGUGAUUUCAGCCUGACAAGUUUCAAAUAACUCGAAAGCAAUACGUUACCAUCGAAGGGUGGGAAUCUA